UACGUAGGUGGCAAGCGUUGUCCGGAUUUACUGGGCGUAAAGAGCGCGCAGGCGGUCGAUCAAGUCGCGUGUGAAAGCCCCCGGCUCAACUGGGGAGGGUCACGCGAUACUGAUCGACUCGAAGGCAGGAGAGGGUAGUGGAAUUCCCGGUGUAGUGGUGAAAUGCGUAGAUAUCGGAAGGAACACCAGUGGCGAAGGCGACUACCUGGCCUGUUUCUUGACGCUGAGGCGCGAAAGCCAGGGGAGCAAACGGG
rnacentral:rRNA from 1 species